rnacentral:rRNA from 1 species
UACGAAGGGGGCUAGCGUUGUUCGGAUUUACUGGGCGUAAAGCGCACGUAGGCGGAUCUUUAAGUCAGAGGUGAAAUCCCAAGGCUCAACCUUGGAACUGCCUUUGAUACUGGAGAUCUUGAGUCCGGGAGAGGUGAGUGGAACUGCGAGUGUAGAGGUGAAAUUCGUAGAUAUUCGCAAGAACACCAGUGGCGAAGGCGGCUCACUGGCCCGGUACUGACGCUGAGGUGCGAAAGCGUGGGGGAGCAAACGGG